GAAACUUGCGGUUUUAUACAUCAUCAGUGGAUAUAUGCAAAUUAUUACAACCAUUUGUGUAAUUAUGUCCCUCCCCUCCCCCAUUCAAAUCAAUGUUGUUUACCCGAUCACCGAAGCAAGAUGCUAACUGAAACCCAGCAUUGAAAGGGGGACGGGACGGGAGGAUGGAAGUUUGUCAAAAUAAUUGGUAGUGGGGGCGUCUUUCCAACACAUUUUAAAAUGAAUGCUGAUAUGAUGCACACUUGGAUCAACUUUAUGUUGACAUUUGACAUUUUAAAAUAGGUAUCAUAUAUCCGUCGAUAAUUGAAAUACAAAGCCAAGAUAAACUGACGGAUCCGUGACCCGAAUGCGAGAGUUCAAACUUCAAACCCCACUCAAGCCAACUUUAAUAAAGCCUCAUACAGACGGGCAAUUUUUUCCCGAC